GGUGUGGGAAGUGGAGAUGUGCCAAAAUUGGACAUUUCCUACUUCACAAUUUUGCCUCCCAAAUACAAAGCAAUGCAAUCCUUCUUUAGCAUCUCUCCAAAGCAUCAAGAAAAAGUCUUUUGCAGAGGACCAUCAACAAAUGGUGCUGAAUGAAUCUUUUUUCUGAGCAAAGACUGUUAACAGACAUAUUAAUGAUAAGAAUAUAUGAAAAAACCAAGAAACAUUUUAAGAUAUUGACUUACCGAAUCUUAAAACUUAAAGGAUUGAAUUGAGAAAGUAGAUAUCAGUGUUUUCAAAACAUAAACAAGGCUGAAUUUGGAUAUUGUUGUAAAAAGCAAUAAACAAACAAAGCAAAUAUAUAUAAUAGUGUAUAUCAAUGCCUGCUAAUAAUAUGGAAACUUUGGUCCUCCAAACCAAACACUAGGAAUACUUAAGCCCAAUAUAUCAUGUUAGUAGAAAUGCAAAAUAAAGCCUAGAUUGGAUCUGAUAAGAGUUGUUGCCUUCCUUUCUAAUGAGAAGCCAGACUACAAUUAAUGAAAGCUAUGUAAAUGUGCUCCAGGCUGUUAAGAUUACAAAGAGAGUUCAGGGCUGGGGAUAAAGAACUGGGAGAAUAGGAUCCACAAUCAAUUACAGAGAAGGUCCUACUAUCUCAGACAGGCACACACAUUUUGAUAUCUCAUCAGGGAACCAAUUGCAUCCAGGCGCCUUUUGGAAGAAAGAUGUAGGAACAUGCUCCCUCCUAUUUGGGGAAUGAUACAAGGGGGCUAUUUUUGAAUGAUUAAUUAAAGGGAAUCAAUCUUCAUUGCUUUGCUACUGACGUGGAAAGCGCCAUGCCUGUGCAAUAAUCGCAUGCAAUUAUUCAACUACCCCUUUGGCAAGGACAACGUAAUUAGUCCUGGUGGUGUCGAGAGAUUCUCUUUAUUCCCAACAAAUUGGCAGUUUUAAUCAAGUGUUGCUGGAAAUUUAUCAUAACACAGGGAAAACAAUAGGUGAAGGUACAGGGCCUCAAGCUGUGUGACUCCUAUCUACAAUGGUACAAAUUUACAAUGCUAACAACAUGAUAAAUACUACCAAUCCGUGAAGGCGUUGAUUAUAAUUUCAUAUCAGCACCAAGCCUUGGCAGUUCUUAUUUGUUUAGAAACAUGGCUGUAACCCUUUUUGUGCUGCCUUGCAUUUGUUUGAUGAGGAAGGUGAGGCAAGCCCUGGGUGCUGGUGGACCGGAACUUGGAAGGCUUAAAAGCCCAGGAAACAGGGGAUACAUCCAGAAAUGCUAACCUACUCCCAUUGCAGGAGUCUGGGAGCUGCUGAUAGCAACACAGAUAAGACAAAAAGCGAAUUCACCGUGUCCUAUUUUGUGUUGUACUCAGAGGAGCUUUCUGCUGGGAUGAUUUUCCAGAUGAGGAAACUGAAGCUUGGAAAACAGAACGGUAGAGCAAGGAUCACAAACCCAGGUGGCUGCAUUCCAGGCCUGCGUGCUUAACCACCAUCCUAUUCCACCUUCUGUACUCUCUUAGGCUGAUGUGCUCAUUAUUCUUGGAGGCCUGGUGAUAAAAAGCUGGACUUUUGCUGUGAUGACGAGAAUGGAUGUGAUGGCUAGAAUACACCUUAUGUAUCAUCCAAAGUCUGUGUAGCUUUCUCCACUGAGAAAACAAAGAGAAAGAAGGAGCAAUGGUGUGGAAGUAGGUAGAGGGGAGAUCCAGGUUACCGAUGAGAUUUUCAUGAGCCUCAAUGCUUUGAGUUAAGUCGUAGAAGUCUUAUUCAUGCUUAUCUUAACUUAGGAAAUCUUAAGUAGAUAAUGGACAAGAAAAGGUUUCUGUUGGCUUUUUCAAGGUUUCAACUCGAAUCUUGUCCAAAACAAACAUUUCAUCAGAUGCAUUAAGCUCCAGGAUUAGGAUCAUACUGGAUCUCGGAGGCUUAAAUGUAAGUAGAAAAUGUGUCAAGUGAAAAGGUGGCAGUGCACACAGAAGAGGAGAGUCAGCCUGGGGAACUCAGUGAAAGAAAUGGUGCUGAUGUCAGAUUCUGGCAGGCCUGACCCCAGCAGAGCCCAGGCCCCCAGCUGGAGCUGCAGGAAUCUCUCGAUGGUGCUUCCCAUAAGGAGUUUCUCUCCUAUGUACAAGAGAAGGUCAUGCGAGCACACAGUAAGAUGGUGGCUGCAUGCAAGCCAAGAGAAGAGGCCUCAGAAUAGAAACAACCGUGCUUGGACUUCCAGCGUCCAGAACUGUGAGAAUAUUAAUUUUUGUUGUUUGAGCCCCACAGUCUAUGGUAUUUUGUUACGGCAGCCUGAGCUGACUAAAUCACAAGCCUUAGUGUUAGAUGUGGUGAAAGGAUUCAAAAUGAGUAGGACGUGGACUCUGCCCUCAAGGACCUUCCUUUCUAGAGAAGACGGAGGUGUGCACAAUUGUGCUUGGUCUACUCUGCCACCAAAUCUCUCCUGCAUCUGUUCCUUCCUGUUCUAGCCCAGGGUUCUACUCCAGGAUGGACCCCAUGUGAUUCUCCUGAACAGUAGUAAAACCCAUCCAUGAUAUCCUUCUUUCCAGGCUCCCCGUGGUCCAAUCCAUUCUCAACAUGGUCAUCUGAGGUAAUUUCUAAAACAUGGAUCUGAUCUAACUGCUCCUCUGGGUAAAAGCCACUAGUGUUUCUUUAUUUUCUAUAAAAUGAAGUGCAAGCUCCACAGCAUCACAGAGUUCUCUUCUAGCCUCACUGACUACCUCUGCCUGCUUGCUACCCAUUCCUCUUUCUCUAUGAAUCCUAUGCUCAAGCAAUACCACCUGUUGUGGGUUGGAUUGUGUCUCCCAAAAAAGAUAUGCUAGAGUCCUAAUCCCCGGUACUUCAGAAUGUGACCUUAUUUGAAAAUAUGUUUCUUGUUUGUUUGUGAGGAAGAUCAGCCCUGUGCUAACAUCUGCCAAUCUUCCUCUUUUUUUUACUGAGGAAGACUGGCCCUGGGCUAACAUCCAUGCCCAUCUUCCUCUACUUUAUAUGGGAGGCCGCCACAGCAUGGCUUGCCAAGCAGGGCGUCAGUGCGAGCCAGGGAUCCGAACCGGCGAACCCAGGGCCGCUGCAGCGGAGUGCGCACACUUAACCGCUUGCGCCACCGGGCUGGCCCCUGAAAAUAUGUUUUUUACAAGUUAAAAUGAGGUCUAGGGAUGGGCCCUGAUCCAAUAUAACUGGUGUCCUUAUAAAAAGGGGAAAUUUAGACAUAGAGACAGACAUACACAGAGGGAAUAUGAUGUGAAGAGACACAGGGAGAACAUGAGAAGAUGUCAGAUUGGAGUGAAUCAUCUACAAGCUAAGGAACACCAGCAAAACCACCAGAAUCUAGGAAGAGGCAAGGAGGGAUUUCCCUAUAGGUUUCAGAGGGAGUCAGCCCUCCUGCUGACACCUUGAUUUUGGACUUCUAGCCUGCAGAGUCGUCCGACGAUAUAUUUCUGUCGUUCUAAGCCACUCAGUUUGUGGUUCUUUGUUCCGGCGGCCUUAGGAAAUUAAUGUACCACUUUGAUCCUUUUUUUUCUUGAAUGUGUCAUGCCAUUUCAUGUCAUCUGAUUUUGCUCAUGCCAUUAUCUUGAUCUGCAAUGUUCUACUCUCCACUCUCUCUAUUGACUCUUACUCCAAGUCCUAGCAAGAACUCUGGGAAACCUUCCCUGAGCAUGUAACCUCCAGGCAGAAUAAAUUGUUCCUCCAUCUGUGCUCACAUGGAAAUUUGUUUGUACCUCUACUCCAGUAUUAUCAUGUGCUAUUGUUUUCAGUCAUUCAACACCUAACGAAUAUUGCAAAUAUUUGGGGGGCCUGUAAAGUGUGUAGCCCAGUGCUAAGUGUUUGUGUAUACUAUAACUUUCACGGAAACUCUGCGUGAAGCAGGUUUUAUUAGUAGUCCUGUUACAGAUGGGGAAACUUAAUGUUAAAAGACUUAGGUAAGUUGUGCAAGAUCAUGUAUCUAGUAAACAUCA